CUGUCAGCACAGAGCCCGUCUCGGGGCUUGAACCCAAGAACCGUGAGAUCAUGACCUGAGCUGAAAUCAAGACCCGGAUGCUUACCCGACAGAGCCACCCAGGUGUCCCAAAACUCAUAAUUAUUUUUCCACAUGUUGCUUCGCCAUGCUACUGAGGGUAUUUACAUGUAUCACAUCUGUGUGCUGGAAAUACUGUUACAUGUGCUGCUACCAAUUCAGCGUUCAGCGACACCACUGUCUGUGGGCCCGGCGUCUUGGUGUGACCCAGCUGGUCCUGUGGUUCAGGGUGUCUCACAAGUUUGCAGUCAAGGUAUGAGGUGGGUCUGUAAUCUUCUCAGGGCCCAACAGUGGGGGUUGGGAGGGGGGUUCUGCUCCAGGAUCAUUCCUAUGGCUGCUGGCAGGAUUCAAUCCCUUGAUGGCUGUCGGACCAGGAGCCUCCGCUUCUCCCUGAUUAUAGGCUGGUAGCCCUCUUCGGUGUUUUACCCAUGUGAGUACGUGCCCGCCUCCAACACGGCGACUGACUUCCAUCCAAGGGUGUAAGAGAGGGCCAGCGGGGCAGAAGUGACAGUCUUUUGUAACCUAAUCUCAGAUGUGACAUCCCAUCACACUUACCGUAUUCUGUUACUUAAAAGGGACUCCGUAGGUCCUGUCCACACUCCAGGGGAGAGGGUCAGGCAGGAGCCUGAACAGAGGAGAUGGGAACCGGGGGAGCCGAUGUAGAGCCCCUCCCCCCUUGAUAAGUGUUAGAGCGAUUUGAUUAUAAGCCCUGGGGAGGGCAAGACUCAGGGCUCAAGGGUAACGCCCCCUUCGUUUAUAUAGUUGUGCCGUUACAGAACCUGGGGCCUAGGCAGUGUCUCCUUCUUGUGUUUAGAGAUUUCCUUCUUGGCCUACGUGUGUUAUCAUUCUUUGUUACUGUUCCUCGAAAACCCCUGUGAUUAAUCAUGUUAUCAGCAUCUACUCUGCAUAGGAUGCCAUAUGAUGAAAAGGGCCCUUCACCUCUGGGUUUUCCUCUCCAAACCCACCACCCUCGUCCACCUGUGAGAAGAGCAUCAGGCAGGUCCCAACUGAUGGAGAUUCUCUGAAAUUCCUGACCAGUUCCCCUCAGGACUGUCAAGGUCAUCACAAACAAGGAAAGUCUGAGAAGGUGUCCCAGCCCAGAGGAGACUAAGGAAAUGAGACUAAGUGACCAUGUGUGACCCUGGAUGGCCUCCUGGGACCCAAAAGGACAUCAGGGAAAAUUUGAAAGAAUCUGAAUGUCAUCGAGUUGGAAUCAUACCGUGUGUAGCCUUUUCAGACUGGCUUCUCUCGCUUAGCGACAUGCAUUUGAGGUUCCUCUGUGUCUUUUCACAGCUGGAGAGCUCCUCCCUUUUUAGCGCUGAAUAACAUUCCCUCGUCUGGAUGUCCCAUGGUUUAUCCAUUCACCCACCGAAGGACGUCUGGGUUGCUUCCAAGUCUGUGGGAUUAUGAAUAAAGCUGCCAUGAGCA